AUUGAACGCUGGCGGCAGGCUUAACACAUGCAAGUCGAGCGGGGGAAGGUAGCUUGCUACCGGACCUAGCGGCGGACGGGUGAGUAAUGCUUAGGAAUCUGCCUAUUAGUGGGGGACAACAUCUCGAAAGGGAUGCUAAUAGCGCAUACGUGCUACGGGAGAAAGCAGGGGAUCUUCGGACCUUGAGCUAAUAGAUGAGCCUAAGUCGGAUUAGGGAGUGGGUGGGGUAAAGGCCUACCAAGGCGACGAUCUGUAGCGGGUCUGAGAGGAUGAUCCGCCACACUGGGACUGAGACACGGCCCAGACUCCUACGGGAGGCAGCAGUGGGGAAUAUUGGACAAUGGGGGGAACCCUGAUCCAGCCAUGCCGCGUGUGUGAAGAAGGACUUAUGGUUGUAAAGCACUUUAAGCGAGGAGGAGGCUACUCUAGUUAAUACCUGGAGAUAGUGGACGUUACUCGCAGAAUAAGCACCGGCUAACUCUGUGCCAGCCGCCGCCGUAA
rnacentral:rRNA from 1 species